rnacentral:ncRNA from 1 species
UUAAAUGCUUGGAUGAGGAGCAGUACCCGCCUGUCCGGUUGCCAGAAAGCUGCUGGUCGAUGCGAAGCAGUAGAAGGAUAUCGGGGAACUCGCCUUGGAGCAGCCGUUUCGAAACCUGAACUUACUGUUCUGGAAGUAGCUACGGACGGAUCGCCCGCCGUUAUGAUGGGGUUGGAUAAGGAGUAAGGCUCUUUAUCCGCUGAGCGUAUGAACAACUGUUCAUAAACUGGAGUGGUACCGCGUAAGACAUGGUCUUUCGUCUCUAUU